UACAGAGGUGGCAAGCGUUGUUCGGAAUUACUGGGCGUAAAGGGCGAGUAGGUGGCCAUCUAAGUCAGACGUGAAAUCCCCCGGCUUAACCUGGGAACUGCGUCUGAUACUGGACGGCUUGAGUAUGGGAGAGGAAUGUAGAAUUCCAGGUGUAGCGGUGAAAUGCGUAGAUAUCUGGAGGAAUACCGGUGGCGAAGGCAGCAUUCUGGACCAUUACUGACACUGAAUCGCGAAAGCUAGGGGAGCAAACGGG
rnacentral:rRNA from 1 species